rnacentral:lncRNA from 1 species
CGGCUCUGGGUUCGGUUGCAGAUUAUUUACAUCCGUUACCAGGCAGCGAAGCGCCGCAUGACGGUAAAACUCUACCAAAAUAAAGCUUGAAAAGCUGCUCCUUCAGCGGAUUAAUGUUGUUUGCACUGUUAAAAUCUAGAAAGCCGUUGUUUUCAGUUUUGUUCAUUUGUCUUGUUUAUGUCCUGCCUCGAAAGACUAACGGUCUGCUGUUAUUAAGAGAUUUACUUGGAAACCCGUGUAACGUUAACGGAAACAUCAGAUGUGUGUUUAUAAACCAUGUCUGCUGUAGACGAGACGGUCUGUAAACUUCACUCAUUUACGAGUUUAUUACAGUUUCAUCCAGAAGUUCCCGUGAAGGCCUGACUUCUAAUCUGAUAUGAAUUUGGGAAGAUCUCUCAUAUAAAUAAUUGUAGUCAUGGCCAGCAAAAUGUCAUCGCCCAGGUAACUUAGUCUUUCUGUUUUUACUAUCUCGAGAGUAAACACGUACAAUGUGACUGUUUUAAGACUUUUAAAUCUUCUCUCCUGUUAUCUUCAGUGAUGUACGAGAGAAGAUAAGGAAGAAGAGGAGAGAACUGCAGGAGUCUUUAGGAAGAGUCAGAGAUGAUAAACAGGCUUUGGUUCCGUCAGACUGGGACCUGUCUAAGGAGAAUGAACACACUGCGGUGGAGGAGCUUCCAGGUGGAGAAGAGGACCCUGGUGAGACACUCAGACGUUCAGUGAUGGCGAAGAGAAUGAAAAAGAAGAAGAAGCUGCUUAAGGAGAUGGCGGUAGAGUCUCCUCCAGAUGAGGAGGAGGUGACAGCAGUGCAGGAGAUGAGAGAGGAGCAGGACAGAGGAGACGAUGUAGAAAGCCCACCAGCGCGCUCACCGAGAGAUCUUCCUCCUCGUCCUGUGAUAAGGCCAGGAUCCAGCCAAUCAGAGACCACCAUGAGACUGCGCAUGACUGAGAAGCUGAGAGCAGCAAAGGUAAAGGUCGUCUGGGGCCAGUGAGAGAAAAACAGAACAUGUAUUUCAU